rnacentral:rRNA from 1 species
UACGUAGGGUGCAAGCGUUGUCCGGAAUUAUUGGGCGUAAAGAGCUCGUAGGCGGUCUGUCGCGUCUGCUGUGAAAACUCAGGGCUUAACCCUGAGCUUGCAGUGGGUACGGGCAGACUAGAGUGCGGUAGGGGAGACUGGAAUUCCUGGUGUAGCGGUGAAAUGCGCAGAUAUCAGGAGGAACACCGAUGGCGAAGGCGGGUCUCUGGGCCGGAUACUG